CUAAGCUUCAAGCUGCUGACGAACUCCGUCAAGACAUGCAGGUAACCUUUUUUUUUUUUGUAAAUGUGAUCUACUGGAAACAAACGUUAAAGAGGGGACACACUUGUCUUAUUAUCAGCAUCAAUGUCCACAUGAAGAACCUAGUUAUGUUGCCAGUGUCAACCCAACAAAAGGCACUUUCACAAUAUAUAAAAGAAGUGUAUGGAACUGAGGUGCUUCGUCAGGAGCUGCUUCAGUUGUUGGAGGAUGGAGAAGAGGACGCAGCCAUGACUUGUGAGACGGCGUCUGAGUCAGCUGCUACUCACUAGGAGAUCAGAAACAUGGUGUCCUUGCAAAAGUGG
ensembl:lncRNA